AUACCUUUGGGAUGAACCGGUCCCUAAUAUGCAAUCACCAUCGCUUCACUUUGUCAGCUAAUGCAGUUCAAAUUUUAGCUGAUCAUUAAGGAUGGCACAUUA